CCCUGACCUCGGAUCAGACGUGAUUACCCGCUGAACUUAAGCAUAUCACUAAGCGGAGGAAAAGAAACUAACCAGGAUUCCCCCAGUAACGGCGAGUGAACGGGGAUUAGCCCA
rnacentral:rRNA from 1 species